UUCAGCAAAGAAGAGAAGAAUCCUGAAACUCUUCUCCAUUUUUCACCCAAAUCUUACAAAUGCCAUAACUUCCUCGUUUCUCAACGAAAUUUAGCGAUUCUUGCGGCCACGGAACGAGGAAACGAUUAUCUACAAAUCUAUGGAUUCAAUUUGAGGUGUUUAUAAGCUUGAAUUGGAGCAAAUUGAUGGUGAAUUUUGGAAGCUAAACUUUUGGUGAUGAAAAAUACCAAUCAAGAUCGGACGAGCGACUAUUAACAAGGUUUGAGGCAAACGGAUUGAGAUAUCGUCAUAAUUAUUUGAAGAAUUUGGAUAGCAAGUGGUGAGUACACUUUAAAUUACUCGUCAAUAUUCAUAAAGCCGCGUAUUUUCAUACGAAAGGCUAUAUGAAUAUUUAUAUAUUUGAAAUGUAUGUUUGCAAAUGUACUACGUAUAUAUGUUUUGAAAUACGUGUUUAUUGUAUUAUGUUAUUUUCAUAAUUACAUAAAUAAAUAAAGAGAAUAUACUUAUUUAAAUAUCGGGGAAGGGUAAAGCUAUACAAUAUGAAAUCGAACAUCGAAUAAAUUACAAGUAUCGAAUCAAAUAUGAAUAAGGAAAUAUAGUACAUUCCGAUAUGUACUAUCAAACAUAAUAAAUACCCAUACGUGCGUGUGUUAUAGAUGUAUUCUUGUAGAUUGUAAUGUGCAUGCCAUGGUCCAUAAAGGAUCAAUAUAACAGAAAGAAAAAUACAAAAUCAACUAGUAAACGUAAAAUGAGAAUUGUACUAUGGUACACUCAAUAAUAAGAACUGAGAUACAAGGUUGAACUCGGUAGAAUUAUCCCGAGACCUGUAUCUCAUCCAUUCUCGAUAAUAGUCCUUGGGACUCAUACGAAAUAAAAAGUAAGUAUACAUCGAGAAAUUGUACGAAACAAGAUCGUGAAGCAAUACGGAACAAACUUUCCUAUUAAUGUCAAUAGGAAUCAUAUGAAUCGACAAUUAAGUUCAAAAGACUUGCAGGGUGCAGAGUCCGGAUGCAGACAUGGAGGUAACUCGGUUGAACUAUCUCAGGACUAACAACUUGGGAUUAAGUAGUGGCAUGAGUAACUCGGUCGAACUAUCUCGGGACUGUGCCACAUGGUUGAAGGCAACUCGGUUGAACUAUCUCGGGACCCAACCAUAAGGAUAAAGUCACAAGAGACUUGCUAAUGAUUUAAUUCGAUUUAGAAUCGUGAUGAUAUAACCUAAGAUUUAAGAUUCGAUCGAAAACUAUUGCAACAAAACGAGAAAGAAAAAUGUCAAUACCAUAAUAAGAAAUCAAAGAUGUCAAGUACGUACAAACUAUAAGUUUAUGAAAUAAACAAAGAGUUAUGAAGGAAAGUA